GCGUUCACAUCAGCAGCACAUAUGCUAACAUUGGAACUACUCAGAGAAGGUUAACAUGGCCUUUACUGAAGAGUGGCAUGCAAAUUCACGAAAUGGUUCUUAUUUUU